UUUAGGAGAGAAACUUUGGGGCGUGAGGAAGGCUUCUGUGCAAGGUGAAGGUCCAAAACCUUCCGAGAGAAAAAGAAAGAAAAGAGAGAAAAUUGGGCGCAGGGUUUUUGGUGUGUACCCUAGGGUUUCUACCUAGGGUUCGGGAAGUGAGAUUGGUGUGCCACGAGUGUCGUGAGUCUAUCAAAUUUUAGAGAGAGAUCCAUCAGCCUCUCAAGCAACUGUGCAGACGAUCCGGAGCAUCCAAAAAGUCGGCACACAUCGAUCGAAGGAGUUCAAUCAACAUCUGCCAUCAAAAGGGUGAAAUCACGAACUAGCAUUCGUGAGGAGCUGAUC
rnacentral:lncRNA from 1 species